rnacentral:tRNA from 1 species
AAUUAGAAUCUAAAUAACUAAACAUUUUAUAUAAUUUAAAUUUUAUUA